GAUGAACGCUAGCGACAGGCUUAACACAUGCAAGUCGAACGAGAGGAGAAGGAAGCUUGCUUCUUUCAAAUCUAGUGGCAAACGGGUGAGUAACACGUAAACAACCUGCCUUCAGGAUGGGGACAACAGACGGAAACGACUGCUAAUACCGAAUACGUUCCUUAGGUCGCAUGACUUUAGGAAGAAAGGGUGGCCUCUACUUGUAAGCUAUCGCCUGAAGAGGGGUUUGCGUCUGAUUAGGUAGUUGGUGAGGUAACGGCCCACCAAGCCGACGAUCAGUAGCCGGUCUGAGAGGGUGAACGGCCACAUUGGGACUGAGACACGGCCCAGACUCCUACGGGAGGCAGCAGUGGGGGAUAUUGCACAAUGGGGGAAACCCUGAUGCAGCGACGCCGCGUGAGGGAAGACGGUCCUCUGGAUUGUAAACCUCUGUCUUCGGGGACGAAAGAAGACGGUACCCGAGGAGGAAGCCACGGCUAACUACGUG
rnacentral:rRNA from 1 species